rnacentral:rRNA from 1 species
GACGAACGCUGGCGGCGUGCUUAACACAUGCAAGUCGAACGGAAAGGCCCUGCUUGCAGGGUACUCGAGUGGCGAACGGGUGAGUAACACGUGGGUGAUCUGCCCUGCACUUCGGGAUAAGCCUGGGAAACUGGGUCUAAUACCGGAUAGGAGCCAUUUUUAGUGUGAUGGUUGGAAAGUUUUUUCGGUGUAGGAUGAGCUCGCGGCCUAUCAGCUUGUUGGUGGGGUAAUGGCCUACCAAGGCGGCGACGGGUAGCCGGCCUGAGAGGGUGGACGGCCACAUUGGGACUGAGAUACGGCCCAGACUCCUACGGGAGGCAGCAGUGGGGAAUAUUGCACAAUGGGCGCAAGCCUGAUGCAGCGACGCCGCGUGGGGGAUGACGGCCUUCGGGUUGUAAACUCCUUUCGCUAGCGACGAAGCUUUUUGUGACGGUACCUAGAUAAGAAGCACCGGCUAACUACGUG